rnacentral:tRNA from 1 species
GCGGUUAGGAUAGCUGGCUCUCACCCAGCAGACCCGGGUUCGAGUCCCGGUGUGGGAA